rnacentral:rRNA from 1 species
UGGUCUUGCUCUCAGUACCGCCGUCCUCUAUCCAGCUUCUGCCAGGCUCAGUGAUUCGUGUUCGCUGGUCUGCUGCCGAAGAAUAACUGGAGUUUACCAUGAGCAAAUCAGAGUGUUCAAAGCAGGCUUUUAUGCCUGAAUGUUAAAGCAUGGAAUAAUAAAACACGCCGCGUGCGUUAGUUUGUUGGUUUCUAACGCCCGAGAAUGAUGAAGAGGAACGGUUGGGGGCUUUUGUAUUUGGGCGCUAGAGGUGAAAUUCUUGGAUUGCCCAAAGACAAACUACUGCGAAAGCAUUAGACCCAGGACGUUUCCAUUGAUCAAGGGCUAAAGUCAGGGGAUCGAAGACGAUUAGAUACCGUCGUAGUCCUGGCCAUAAACGAUGCCGACUAGGGAUUGGAUUGGUCUAAUGCCAAUUCAGCACCUUAGCGAAAGUAAAGUUUUUAGGUUCUGGGGGGAGUAUGGGACGCAAGGCUGAAACUUAAAGGAAUUGACGGAAGGGCACCACCAGGAGUGGAGCCUGCGGCUUAAUUUGACUCAACACGGGGAAACUCACCAGGUCCAGACAUAAGAAGGAUUGACAGAUUGAAAGCUCUUUCAUGAUUUUAUGGGUGGUGGUGCAUGGGCCGUCCUUAGUUCGUGGAGUGAUUUGUCUGGUUAAUUCCGAUAACGAACGAGACCUUGAUCCAAUACUACCUGGCUUGAUCUUUUGAUCAAGGCUACAUCCUUUCGGGGAUCCAGGUUCUUUUGGAGACUAUUUGG